rnacentral:lncRNA from 1 species
ACAGCUCCUACCUCCGGGACUGGGUAGGGUGGGGGACUGGCUGCUGCUGAAGAACCUAGAGGGCCCCCAUUCCCGGAUGGUGAGGCCCCAGGCGGUGUUCAGAAAGGCCUGGCUGGGUGCUGCCUGAUCCUGGGUGCCUGCCCCCAGCCCGUUCUUGCCCAGGGUUGGCCCGUCAGUUUGGGGAGGAGCCACUGAAAACUGGAAGCAAACAGGGGAGUCCGCAGCCCAGGGCUCACGCCAACCAGGAAGGUGCAGGCCACGCUCCUGCCUCUGCCUCCUCAGGGCCCCCACACUGCUGUCCCCGCUGACCCAGCUCCAGGAGGGCCCGGCACAACCUUGGUUCCCCCUGUACAGAUGCACAGCUGCCCGACUCUCUGGAAGGGAGCACUCUUGAGUGCUGUGGCCAAGCAGGGCAGGGGCUGCAGAAGGGAGACCCCCCGUUCCAGAUCCAGGCCCCAGGGGGCAGGCCGUGCCCACAGAAGGGGUGCUGAGG